rnacentral:rRNA from 1 species
AACGAACGCUGGCGGCAUGCCUAACACAUGCAAGUCGAACGAGACCUUCGGGUCUAGUGGCGCACGGGUGCGUAACGCGUGGGAACCUGCCCUUAGGUUCGGAAUAACUCCCCGAAAGGGGUGCUAAUACCGGAUAAUGUCUUCGGACCAAAGAUUUAUCGCCUUUGGAUGGGCCCGCGUUGGAUUAGCUAGGUGGUAGGGUAAAAGCCUACCAAGGCGACGAUCCAUAGCUGGUCUGAGAGGAUGCUCCGCCACACUAGGACUGAGACACGGCCCAGACUCGUACGCGGCGCAGCAGUGAAGACUCUUCCAGUCCGGGCGAAAGCCUGCGCCACCAAUGUCGCGAGAGUGAUGAAGGCCUUAGAGUUGUCAAUCGCAAUUACACGGGACGAUAAUGGCAGUACCGGGAGAAUAAUGCCCGGCUAACUCCGUG